GAACAAAGGUGAUUUUUGUCUGUUAGGGU
rnacentral:piRNA from 1 species